rnacentral:rRNA from 1 species
GGGAUAACAGGCUGAUCUUCCCCAAGAGUCCAUAUCGACGGGAUGGUUUGGCACCUCGAUGUCGGCUCGUCGCAUCCUGGGGCUGUAGCAGGUCCCAAGGGUUGGGCUGUUCGCCCAUUAAAGCGGUACGCGAGCUGGGUUUAGAACGUCGUGAGACAGUUCGGUCCCUAUCCGCCGUGCGCGUUGGAUACUUGAGAAGGGCUGUCCCUAGUACGAGAGGACCGGGACGGACGAACCUCUGGUGUGCCAGUUGUCCCGCCAGGGGCACGGCUGGUUGGCUACGUUCGGAAGGGAUAACCGCUGAAAGCAUCUAAGCGGGAAGCUCGCUUCGAGAUGAGGUAUCCCACCACCUUUGAGUGGGUAAGGCCCCCAGCUAGACUACUGGGUUGAUAGGCCGGAGAUGUAAGCCUAGUAAUAGGUUCAGUCGACCGGUACUAAUAGGCCGAGGGCUUAACUAC